UGGGGAAUUUUGGACAAUGGGGGCAACCCUGAUCCAGCGACGCCGCGUGGAGGACGAAGGUCUUCGGAUUGUAAACUCCUUUUGAGGGGGAUGAAUGCCUGCGUGAAUAACGCAGGGUGACAGUACUCCUCGAAUAAGCCACGGCUAACUACGUGCCAGCAGCCGCGGUAAUACGUAGGUGGCAAGCGAUACUCGGAAUCACUAGGCGUAAAGCGCAGGUAGGCGGUUCGGUAAGUCUUUUGUGAAAGCUCCCGGCUUAACUGGGAGAGGCCAAAGGAAACUACCGAGCUGGAGUGUGGCAGAGGAAACUGGAAUUCCCGGUGUAGCGGUGAAAUGCGUAGAUAUCGGGAGGAAUACCUAUGGCGAAAGCAGGUUUCUGGGCCAUCACUGACGCUGAUCUGCGAAAGCUAGGGGAGCAAACAGGAUUAGAUACCCCCGUAGUCC
rnacentral:rRNA from 1 species